CAAGGGUUUAGGGUUUACCUAAGGGUUUAAGGUUUACCCAAGGGUUUAGGGUUUUCCCAAGGAUUUAGGGUUUAGGAUUAGAGUUUAGGGUUUAGUGUUUUGUUGACAACAUGUUUAGUGUUUUUCCAAGGAUUUAGGGUUUACCCAAAGGUUUAGAGUUUAGGAUAUGAGUUUAGGGUUUAGUAUUAGAGUUUAGGGUUUAGUGUUUUGUUGACAAUAUUUUUUUUUUUGAAUUUGUUUUUUAUAUAUUAUUUUUAUUUAUUUUUAAAUUUUAUUUUGAAAAGAUAAUAUAAUUUGCCAAGUUAUUUGGUUUCUUUAAUUAAAAGAUACUAAAUCUAAACUGACAAUUUUCUAUUGGUUGGUAAAGCUAAAGGUUCACCCUAGGGGGUGAACCCAAGAAUAACUCAAAUUAUAUUCAUUAGAAGUUCCAAUGACCCAAGGGAGCAUAUUUAACGAGGAUAGAGGUCGGUGAUAGUUAUUUCAUUAAUGCUCUGAGAAUAUGAACUGAUUGUGAUACAGCGAAACUCAAUGAUCAAUAUAGAUUUCGUAUAACUCGAUCCAAAGUAAGAAUUACAAAGAAUCGAUCUCACCACGCCAAGAGCUUACUAGUAGAAACAGCUCAAUAACGAUGAUAAGAAAACCUCACAAACUCUCAGAGAAAAGACUCAAGAAAAGUUUACUCCAAAAUAUCUGAUGAUCUCCAAAUGAUUCCUCCUCUCCUCCCUUUAUUCUUCUUCUUCUUCGUUUCUGUAACAAACUCCAACCGAAUCUUCA
rnacentral:lncRNA from 1 species